UCUGGUCCUAGAAGCAUUACAGGUGUGGCUGUUGUGUCUCAUGUGCAUCAGUAGGUGACAGAGAGGAGAGAGCUAUGUCUACACUCAGGGUUCUGACCUGUGAACAUCUGAAUGAUCAGUAGCCUAACACU
ensembl:snoRNA Gm25094 predicted gene, 25094